AUUAAAACCGGAAAGCAUGGACACCCAGACAGCUUACUGUCAAUGACUGUACUAUUCACUGUCUUCAACAAAAGUCAGCUAUUCCAGGAAACUCUCGUCCAGAAAGAUAAAAAUUGAGAAUGAGACAUCAAUCAAUAUGCGGAAGAUUUACAUGGUUCGGUCUGGAAGGGUGGGACAAUUCGAAGGGUGAGGAGAGAAGAGGAGCUUCCGGGUCAUAGGUGGUCAGGAAGAAGUCAAAUCUUCUAGAGGAGGUAGGUCACUCCUGCCCCUUAACGCCUCAGUCCAGCUCUCCUCUAGGACCUCAGAGACUCCACUUCGCCCAUUUGCCAGUCAGUUCUUGCACUUUUCCACGGUGGAAAAUAUUCUUAUAUUGCUGCCAGUGCAGAAUCAACCACUGACCUACCAGAAUCCACCAUGGACCUGGAGUCACCCACAGAUGUGUACCUGGAGAACACCCAGGCUUUCCAAAAUGAAGCAAAUUCUCCAUUAGCUGUGAUGAUCACUGCUAUCCACUACUUUCUAAGAAGAUUCUAUGCUUUUGAGCAUGCCUACCACUACACUAUAGGAGAUCUAUUGUAGAAGACUAGAAAAACAUAGGAUGUGCCCAGCUGAGGCAUUGAUCCUGGCUGGGUAGGGGGAAUUGUUCAGGGAUGGGGAAGGGGCACUUCUUAGCUGUGUCUCAUCGAGUACGGGCUCAAUAAAUAAUUGAAUUUUGAGAGUG